rnacentral:rRNA from 1 species
UCUCCCCCCUGCCGCCGUGUUCAACACAUCCAAGUCGAAGGAUGAAGCCUAGCUUGCUGGGUGGAUUAGUGGCGAACGGGUGAGUAACACGUGAGUAACCUGCCCUUAACUCUGGGAUAAGCCUGGGAAACUGGGUCUAAUACCGGAUAGGAGCGUCCACCGCAUGGUGGGUGUUGGAAAGAUUUAUCGGUUUUGGAUGGACUCGCGGCCUAUCAGCUUGUUGGUGAGGUAAUGGCUCACCAAGGCGACGACGGGUAGCCGGCCUGAGAGGGUGACCGGCCACAAUGGGACUGAGACACGGCCCAGACUCCUACGGGAGGCAGCAGUGGGGAAUAUUGCACAAUGGGCGAAAGCCUGAUGCAGCGACGCCGCGUGAGGGAUGACGGCCUUCGGGUUGUAAACCUCUUUCAGUAGGGAAGAAGCGAAAGUGACGGUACCUGCAGAAGAAGCACCGGCUAACUACGUG